UACGGGGGGAGCAAGCGUUGUUCGGAUUUACUGGGCGUAAAGGGCGCGUAGGCGGCCACCGCAAGUCGAUUGUGAAAUCUCCGGGCUUAACCCGGAAAGGUCAACCGAUACUGCGGGGCUAGAGUGCGGAAGGGGCAACUGGAAUUCUUGGUGUAGCGGUGAAAUGCGUAGAUAUCAAGAGGAACACCUGCGGCGAAGGCGGGUUGCUGGGCCGACACUGACGCUGAAGCGCGAAAGCGUGGGUAGCAAACAGG
rnacentral:rRNA from 1 species